rnacentral:rRNA from 1 species
UACGAAGGGUGCAAGCGUUACUCGGAAUUACUGGGCGUAAAGCGUGCGUAGGUGGUGAGUUAAGUCUGUCGUGAAAUCCCCCGGCUCAACUGGGGAACUGCGUGGGAAACUGCGAGGCUUGAGUUCGGGAGAGGGAAGCGGAAUUCCGGGUGUAGCGGUGAAAUGCGUAGAUAUCCGGAGGAACACCGGUGGCGAAGGCGGCUUCCUGGACCGACACUGACGCUGAGGCGCGAAAGCUAGGGGAGCAAACGGG